GGUAGAACCACUCUGUGACCACAUGUGGAUCUGAAUUCACCUGGUGUUUCUCUGCUAUGGAUCAGUGUGAGGACAGAGAGGAGGGAGUCCCUCCCUCUAAAAGCUCUCUGUGUGGGGAACAUGACAGCCAGACCAAAGCUCAGAGGACAAAGAAGCAGCACAGACCAGACUCUGCUGGACCUGAACCUGA